UCGAUAACUCAGUUGGCAGAGCGGUGGAAUGUAGAUCCAUAGGUCGCUGGUUCGACUCCGGCUUUUCUAAA
rnacentral:tRNA from 1 species